GAUGAACGCUGGCGGCGUGCCUAAUACAUGCAAGUCGAGCGAAUGGAUUAAGAGCUUGCUCUUAUGAAGUUAGCGGCGGACGGGUGAGUAACACGUGGGUAACCUGCCCAUAAGACUGGGAUAACUCCGGGAAACCGGGGCUAAUACCGGAUAACAUUUUGAACCGCAUGGUUCGAAAUUGAAAGGCGGCUUCGGCUGUCACUUAUGGAUGGACCCGCGUCGCAUGAGCUAGUUGGUGAGGUAACGGCUCACCAAGGCAACGAUGCGUGGCCGACCUGAGGGGGUGAUCGGCCACACUGGGACUGAGACACGGCCCAGACUCCUACGGGAGGCAGCAGUAGGGAAUCUUCCGCAAUGGACGAAAGUCUGACGGAGCAACGCCGCGUGAGUGAUGAAGGCUUUCGGGUCGUAAAACUCUGUUGUUAGGGAAGAACAAGUGCUAGUUGAAUAAGCUGGCACCUUGACGGUACCUAACCAGAAAGCCACGGCUAACUACGUGCCAGCAGCCGCAGUAA
rnacentral:rRNA from 1 species